GGGGGUGUACUGGUUUCGACGGGGGAAGCGGUGGCAGAAGAAGCGAGCCGGGAUUGCACUAGCCCGUAAAAACGGUGCGCAAAAAGUAAACGCAGACGAAAAUUACGCUUUAGCUGCUUAAUUGCAGCCUAACCUCUUACCCUCUGUGCCUGGGGUGAGGGCUAAGAGGUCAUCUUACCAGGCUACUCUUAGGUAAGUGUUCCAUAGCCUAAGGGGAAACUAAUGGGACUGGUCCAAGAGGAUCCUGCUUGUAGGAGCCUGGCGGGCGAGAACGAAAAUACAAGCUGCGCUCGGAGAUGCUUCUGUGGUCGUUCUUUCGGACAGGGGUUCGACUCCCCUCACCUCCACCA
rnacentral:tmRNA from 1 species